rnacentral:rRNA from 1 species
CGGGUGAGUAACGCGUGGGUAACCUGCCUUGUACAGGGGGAUAACAGUUGGAAACGGCUGCUAAUACCGCAUAAGCGCACAGCAUCACAUGAUGCAGUGUGAAAAACUCCGGUGGUAUAAGAUGGACCCGCGUUGGAUUAGCUAGUUGGUGAGGUAACGGCCCACCAAGGCGACGAUCCAUAGCCGACCUGAGAGGGUGACCGGCCACAUUGGGACUGAGACACGGCCCAA